CUACGGGAGGCAGCAGUGGGGAAUCUUGCACAAUGGGGGAAACCCUGAUGCAGCGACGCCGCGUGAGCGAUGAAGCCCUUCGGGGCGUAAAGCUCUUUCGGCAGGGACGAUAAUGACGGUACCUGCAGAAGCAGCUGCGGCUAACUACGUGCCAGCAGCCGCGGUAAUACGUAGGCAGCGAGCGUUGUUCGGAGUUACUGGGCGUAAAGGGUGUGUAGGCGGUCGUUUAAGUUUGGUGUGAAAUCUCCCGGCUCAACUGGGAGGGUGCGCCGAAUACUGAGCGGCUAGAGUGCGGGAGAGGAGAGUGGAAUUCCUGGUGUAGCGGUGAAAUGCGUAGAUAUCAGGAGGAACACCGGCGGUGUAAACGGCUCUCUGGACCGCAACUGACGCUGAGACACGAAAGCGUGGGUAGCAAACAGGAUUAGAUACCCUGGUAGG
rnacentral:rRNA from 1 species